CCCUCGAAGCGGGGGUGCCCAAGCAAUUGCGUGGGCUGAGAGAGUCCCUUCGAACCUGAUCCGGUCCGUACCGGCGUAGGAAGCUUCGUCCACGGGUAA
rfam:Luteibacter rhizovicinus DSM 16549 Contig_87, whole genome shotgun sequence.